CAUGCCUUAUCCGAUUCUCGCUCCUCUCUAUCUCGCCCCGGCUGUAACCUCUCUCUCCUUCGAUUCCCCGUGACCAAGACAAGAUCCUGACUUCACCGCCGCUAGUCUUCACCGGCGUUAGCUCUCACCGCUUCUGCCAUCGAUAUCUCAGGUUUUCUUUGCUCCUCCUUGUCUUCUUCCUUAGACAGUUGAACAAAGGUUUAACCUUUGAUUUCAAUUUCUUUCCAGAUCGUGCCUUGAUGAAUCUGUUGUAGCUUUGUGAUUAUCAAAUGACAAAAUCACUCAACUUCUCCUCACGCCACCUUUGAAAACCGAACCAGAACUUGUCAAAGACCAAAAGGUAUCCUCUUUUGUUUUGACUUUCCUUCCUGUAUACAUACGUGUCUUUAAGCCCUCUUAGAAACCUGUAAUGAAAGAUUCUUUUGCUGAAUAAUUAAACAUAUCUCCUUGUUUAAUGUUACAGCUCAUGGUGUUGACGUCUCUUCACCAUCGUUACUUCCGUAAGGUAAUCAAAUAGAAUUGUUGCUUCAAUUCUUUUAAGAGCUUUGAACUUGUGAAUUAAUAACCAUGUAUUCACAGCUCUGUUGAAGACGUUCCUUUCUACAACAUCACGUAAUCCUUCAGGUAUAACUUCUGAUUCUUUUCUUUAUAAUGAUUUUCCAGCUUCUUUUGAAGCUUAACCUCUGCAUAAAAAUUCUUUGACUAGUAUUCCUUGAAAUAAUUUUUGCAGAUUCCUUUUCAUAGUCAGCUUCUGUCUACACCC
rnacentral:lncRNA from 1 species